GGAAAAUUUCAAACCUAUGCUUCCCAAUUUAAAGAUAGAUGUUCCUCUAGUUGAUGUUAACUUGAAUUGGCUUCAUACAACUUCCACCUAAUCCUUGCUUCAUGUAGUUCAGGUUGUUUUUAAAGAGUCAAUGAUCACACCAAAAAGAAAAAGGAACAAAAUACAGUUUUCACAUGGAUUAUGGUAAAAGGAACCGCUCCUAUUAAUCUGUGAAGGGAAUUUUCUGUUAAGGAACUCAUGAAACACAACCUUUGUGAAUAUCCAAAUUCUACUAAGAGACUCAAUUUAUGAUCAGCUAUGAUAUCCUUCCUUUUAUUAUAUAUCCAUCCAAUGGCUUGAAGAAAGACAGCUUUAGGGGUAUGACACAAUUGAGAAAGAAUAUCUUGGAACACAGACAAAGAAUGUUAUAGAAGGACCUAUGCCUUUUGUUUUACUUUUCUUGAAGACCAGAGGAUCCCUGUCAUGUUAAGUGCAGCAGAGAAAAUUUAUGAACAGGUAAUCCUGAUCAUGGCUGAUGUUGUUGUUACAUGGUAUGGUGGGAGGCCCUUGAAUAAUUUGAUGUGCUGUAAGAUAACCUUGUAAAGCCACUUAUAAUUAUAGACAGGAAGGGAUCUCGAUCAUGCCUGUGCAACAGAGAAAAUUUAUGUAGGUCCACAUGAACAUGGCUGAUUCUGUUGUUAGUCCUAAGUAACUUGAUGUGCUGUGUAUGAUGAUCAUGUAAAUCCACUUAUAACAAUGCACAGGAAAGAGAGCUCUGCUAAUCUGGUUUGAUUUUUUUGCAUGGAAUGCUCAUGAAGAAGAAAGCUUCUACCUUUGUUUGGAAAUGAAGAAGCAAACAAGAAAGGGAGAAAAUGACAGAUGGGAAGCAAAUAGGAGGUUCAAUUUCAUAGGGCCACUUAAAAGUAUUCCCCUUUAAAAAUGGCUGGAAGAAAAACCUUUUUGGCUGUUUUUAAACUUUUUGUGAAAGUUAAAAUAACUUUUUUAUAACAAUUUUAAAAAUAAUCAGUACUUUUCUUGAGAAAAACAAAUAUAGUAAAAAUAAUUUUUAUUUAACUAAUUUUCUGUCUUUUUUUUUCUUCUAAUCAUUCAAACCACUGAUGGAAAAUUCUCACUUCUUUCUCUUCAUCCAAAUCAUAUAUUUUUUAUUUAUAUUUUAUUUCUCAAAAUUCUUGAACCUAGAAGUUUAAUGAUAAAAAUAAUGACAUUUUCGCAGACAGGUGAUUUCUUGCGAAUGUGUGAGUACCUUUUCUCAGCAGGAGAAGCAAUGUGAAGUUGAAGAAUUGGUACAUCCAAGAUUGGGUUAAGAUGCGAAGUUACGUGCAAUGUGGAGUAACUCAAAUUCAAUCGGGUUUUGCUUGUUGCAUUGGUAAAACACGAAAACUAAAACUUUGACCUCAAUAAAGAAGGAACAAAAUAAGAACAAUAAAAAAUAUGAAAGUCUAACCAAUGUAGUAAGUAAAUCUGAAUUAGUUAAUUAUAUUUUAAAUCAUAUUCAUUUACUUAACUAUUAAUUUCUGGAAAGUAUAUAUGAAUUAUUUUUUGGAAUAUCCAUUUCCUUGAUAACUAAUUUGGAUAAUCAAUUAAAAUUUAUUAUAAAUUAAAAAAUACUAAAAUUUAUAACAUGAAUAUUAUAUAAAUUAUGUUUGGUUCACUCAAACUUUUCACAUUAAUUUAUUUAGUGUAGGAGUUUAUUUAGUAUUGGGAUAAAAAGAAUAGUUUACAUACAUUCCUAUUCUUUAAUCUAUUAAGAUGUCUUUCAAUAAAAC
rnacentral:lncRNA from 1 species